rnacentral:rRNA from 1 species
AAUGGACGCUGGCGGCAGGCCUAACACAUGCAAGUCGAACGGAUCCUUCGGGAUUAGUGGCGGACGGGUGAGUAACCCGUGGGAACAUACCCUUUGGUACGGAAUAGCCUCGGGAAACUGGGAGUAAUACCGUAUGUGGUCGAGAGACGAAAGAUUUAUCGCCAAAGGAUUGGCCCGCGUUGGAUUAGGUAGUUGGUGGGGUAAUGGCCUACCAAGCCGACGAUCCAUAGCUGGUUUGAGAGGAUGAUCAGCCACACUGGGACUGAGACACGGCCCAGACUCCUACGGGAGGCAGCAGUGGGGAGUCUUAGACAAUGGGGGAAACCCUGAUCUAGCCAUGCCGCGUGAUCGAUGAAGGCCUUAGGGUUGUAAAGAUCUUUCAGGUGGGAAGAUAAUGACUGUACCACCAGAAGAAGCCCCGGCUAACUCCGUGCCAGCCGCCGCCGUAACAC